AACACACAUCCAAGCAUCCAAGAAAAUAGGUAAAAGCCCCAGAGGCUAGGAGAAAACUAAACUCUGGGACCUAGAGUCUAUGAGCAACGUGGCACAGCUCUAGGGAGGUUGCCAGCUCAGUAACCUGGAAGCUUGGUUUUUGUUUACACCAAGUUAGAAGAGCAGGCUUUGAGUUUACUGGAUGCAGAAAAUGGAUACUGACAUCUCUGCAGAGAGCUGGGGCUUUUAAAGGUGAUGUGGGGAUAAAAGGGUGAACUAGCAAAAAAAUGUCCCUGCACACAGGGAGACAAGAAUGAAGACUAUACGUCUUGGCCUGGACUCAAAGUAGGGUGAAAACUCUUGCUUGUUAAUUUGUGGCCAUUGUAUACCAUUGUUUGAGAUUUGAGUUUCUGCUACCAGCACAUUCUGGAAGCAAUGACUCCCCUUACCCAUCUGAUUCUUCUGGCAACACAUAGCACCUUUUGUGGAUGUCUGGUUUAGGUUAAAAGGUGUUGUCUGUAGCUGUGGAUUA
rnacentral:lncRNA from 1 species